rnacentral:rRNA from 1 species
GGUCAAGUGAAGAAGCGCAUACGGUGGAUGCCUUGGCAGUCAGAGGCGAUGAAAGACGUGGUAGCCUGCGAAAAGCUUUGGGGAGUCGGCAAACAGACUGUGAUCCAGAGAUCUCUGAAUGGGGGAACCCAGCCAGCACAAGCUGGUUAUCUUGUACUGAAUACAUAGGUGCAAGAGGCGAACCAGGGGAACUGAAACAUCUAAGUACCCUGAGGAAAAGAAAUCAACCGAGAUUCCCUUAGUAGUGGCGAGCGAACGGGGACCAGCCCUUAAGUUGAUUUGAGAUUAGUGGAACGCUCUGGAAAGUGCGGCCAUAGUGGGUGAUAGCCCCGUACACGAAAAUCUCUUAUCAAUGAAAUCGAGUAGGACGGAGCACGAGAAACUUUGUCUGAAUAUGGGGGGACCAUCCUCCAAGGCUAAAUACUACUGACUGACCGAUAGUGAACCAGUACCGUGAGGGAAAGGCGAAAAGAACCCCGGAGAGGGGAGUGAAAUAGAACCUGAAACCGUAUGCGUACAAGCAGUGGGAGCCUACUUUGUUAGGUGACUGCGUACCUUUUGUAUAAUGGGUCAGCGACUUAUAUUCAGUGGCGAGCUUAACCGAAUAGGGGAGGCGUAGCGAAAGCGAGUCUUAAUAGGGCGUUUAGUCGCUGGGUAUAGACCCGAAACCGGGCGAUCUAUCCAUGGGCAGGUUGAAGGUUAGGUAACACUGACUGGAGGACCGAACCGACUACCGUUGAAAAGUUAGCGGAUGACCUGUGGAUCGGAGUGAAAGGCUAAUCAAGCUCGGAGAUAGCUGGUUCUCCUCGAAAGCUAUUUAGGUAGCGCCUCAUGUAUCACUGUAGGGGGUAGAGCACUGUUUCGGCUAGGGGGUCAUCCCGACUUACCAAACCGAUGCAAACUCCGAAUACCUACAAGUGCCGAGCAUGGGAGACACACGGCGGGUGCUAACGUCCGUCGUGAAAAGGGAAACAACCCAGACCGUCAGCUAAGGUCCCAAAGUCAUGGUUAAGUGGGAAACGAUGUGGGAAGGCUUAGACAGCUAGGAGGUUGGCUUAGAAGCAGCCACCCUUUAAAGAAAGCGUAAUAGCUCACUAGUCGAGUCGGCCUGCGCGGAAGAUGUAACGGGGCUCAAACCAUGCACCGAAGCUACGGGUAUCAUCUUAUGAUGAUGCGGUAGAGGAGCGUUCUGUAAGCCUGUGAAGGUGAGUUGAGAAGCUUGCUGGAGGUAUCAGAAGUGCGAAUGCUGACAUGAGUAACGACAAUGCGAGUGAAAAACUCGCACGCCGAAAGACCAAGGUUUCCUGCGCAACGUUAAUCGACGCAGGGUUAGUCGGUCCCUAAGGCGAGGCUGAAAAGCGUAGUCGAUGGAAAACAGGUUAAUAUUCCUGUACUUCCAGUUAUUGCGAUGGAGGGACGGAGAAGGUUAGGCCAGCCUGGCGUUGGUUGUCCAGGUUUAAGGUGGUAGGCUGAAAUCUUAGGCAAAUCCGGGAUUUCAAGGCCGAGAGCUGAUGACGAGUUGCCUUUAGGCGAUGAAGUGGUUGAUACCAUGCUUCCAAGAAAAGCUCCUAAGCUUCAGAUAACUGGGAACCGUACCCCAAACCGACACAGGUGGUUAGGUAGAGAAUACCAAGGCGCUUGAGAGAACUCGGGUGAAGGAACUAGGCAAAAUG